GAUGAUCGCUGGCGGCGUGCCUAAUACAUGCAAGUCGAGCGAACAGACGAGGAGCUUGUUCCUCUGACGUUAGCGGCGGACGGGUGAGUAACACGUGGAUAACCUACCUAUAUGACUGGGAUAACUUCGGGAAACCUGAGCUAAUACCGGAUAAUAUAUUGAACGGCAGGGUUCGAUAGUAAAAUGCGGUUUUGCUGGCACGGUGAGGUGGAUGCCCGCCGCAUUAUCUAGUCGGUAAGGUAACGGCUUACCAAGGCCACGAUGCGUAGCCAACCUGAGAGGGUGAUCGGCAACCAUGGAACUCAGACACGGUCCAGACUCCUACGGGAGGCAGCAGUAGGGACUCGUCCGCAAUGGGCCACAGCCAGUCGGAGCCCCGCCGCGUGAGUGCUGGAGGUCUUCGGAUCUUAAAGCUCUGUUAUUAGGGAAGAACACAUGUGUAAGUAACUAUGCACGUCUUGACGGUACCUCAUGAGAAGGCCCCGGCUAACCACGUG
rnacentral:rRNA from 1 species